ACAGUUUUGCACAUAUCAUGUAAGACUCAAUUUCUCGGCAUACCCCCGGACCCCCCUAGGGAGAGCACCCUCACAUAACAAAUCGCAAUUUAACCCCUGGCCAUACAUAUGAAGACAUACAAUCAAAUUGUGUGGAUAUAAAUAAAUUCAGAUCAAAUUAAUUUGAACAGUGAAAUCAUAUUGUUGCCAUUUCUAUUAACUAUUCAUAUUUUUUUCAGGUCCAGCUUUGCUCAGCGGUGGUUUGUGAGCGUGGAGGGCUAGGUUGUCAGUGAGGGAGUGUCCUUUGUGCUGGGGCUUGCUGGUCUAAUGUCAACUUUCUACAACUUUAACCUGCAAUACCAGGACUAUGCUGCAUGGUCGUUGGAGUUCAUUCAGAGAAUCUGCAUGGGGAUUAAUCCUGAGAGAGGAUCAAAGGCAUACAGUGGACAGGCACCCAGCAGAAAAACUGGAAAGAUGGUCCAGAAGAAACCAUCAACAGUGAACCUGCAUGUCUGCACCCUAAUCAGGAAGCUCAACGACUUCAAGUGGGACUUUGUUUGAUCUUCUCUCAUAGCAUUGUAUUGUUUAGGUGCAGAUACCAUUUGUCAAUUAUCAAUGAACAAUAUAUGCCGAUAAAUACUGAUCGAUUUUGUGUUGUUUAGUUUAGUUAUUGCAGCUGAUAGAGCUGUAUUAUUGUAUUGGCCAGUUUCCCUGUUUGCAGUGUAUUGGGAUCGUGACCGGCUAUAUAAUGGUGUGUGACUCCAUGGAGCUCAACAGGGACUUCUCACUUUUUUUUUUACGGUGGUUCCAGAAGUGUUUCAUUGACAUUUCAAAAAUUGCUCAUAUAUAGGUUUAACCCUGGAACUGAGCCAACCAGCUACAAGAUGAGUUACUAGUUUUGGUGAUUAUGAAACAUUUGAUUCAGCACUAAAAAACAUUUUGAAAACAAGUUACAAUACUGUGUAGAGAAACUAUCAUAGAUGUUCAAUGGUAGAGGCUCGCUCUAGCCGUUCACGGUUUUGUGGAUACGGUAAACGUGUCUAUGGUAACGAGUUGGGCCAAUCAGAGACAUUACUGUUACACUUAGGAUUGUGGGUAGUGUAAUUUCUCUCCAUAAGAUCACACAUAAAACAUGUUUUUCUUAAUGCAAGUUUGAUUUCAUACGGACCUCUUGCUUUUACAACCUUUUAGCUCGGGGUCAGUCUGCCUCGGAUGAUUUAGAUUGCUAAUGAUAGACACAUUUUCUAUUGUAUGCAGACGAGUGCGUAUGUUGGAUGUCACGAACACGCCGCAAAACGGGUGUUAACUUUUUCUGCUACGGCAUUGAUACAGUUCACAAAACUGCAAACUGCUGUACCUUUCUUUAAACGUGCUGUAUACUCACAUGAUAUUUACUAUACAGUAUAAAUAAAGAGUUAAUUAGA